rnacentral:lncRNA from 1 species
AUGCUAGUUUUUACUCCUGCUUCUAUUUUAGGAACCAAAAAACAGACAGAAUGGCAGAUUGCUACUGUUUGAUCCAAAGGGUAAAUUAUUUAUUACGUCAAAUGUGUUUGAUCAUGAUUCUAUCCUAAAUAUUAAUUAAUAAUAAGAAUAUUGGAAUGAGUGAAUGUGAUUUUAUGAUUUAGUAAUCAAAUAUUUUGUUAUAUGUCAUCCAAAAAUAUCUUAAAUUUUAUUUCCCAAUGUGACACUUACGUUUACGGACAUCACUGCUAGAAAAAAAAUACUAAGUUUUUUUCUUCUCUUUCAGAAAAAGUGAUGCUUGAACCAAAGGAAGCAAUGUCAGAGUAAGAAGAUGUCUUUGGUUGUGCAGCUGAUCUGUCACAUGCCUUUUAAGCAAUUAGAACUAGAUAAUGCAACCAUUUGUCACCUAAUUAAAUUUGAAAAGCCAGAAAUGCAUGGAUUAGCACUUUAGUUUUUGCUUCAGUCAAAGUAAUUGUCACUGGGCUGGGGAUGUGGCUCAAGCGGUAGCACGCUCGCCUGGCAUGCGUGCGGCCCGGGUUCGAUCCUCAGCACCACAUACAAACAAAGAUGUUGUGUCCACUGAAAACUAAAAAAAUAAAUAAAUAUUAAAAAAAAAAACAAAAACAAAGUAAUUGUCACUUAAAUAGAAGGAUACGUAAAAUUAAAAAUGAAUUUUGAUAAAAAUGUAGAGGCAUGGAUAAUAAUCACUUCUAUUUUUUAAUGCUUAAACAUCAUGUAUUCUGUAUUUUACUUGUAUAAUUUCCAUUGCUCAUUCCAAUUUCCCUUUGCUAUUUGCUCAUUUCUUUCAGGAUAUAUCUGUAAGUAAAUAUUUAAACAGAUUAUUUUUUAUAACAUGAAUCAUCAUUACUAAAGGAAAAAUCAACUCAACUAGCUGGUGAAAUUAGUAUUAAAAAUCAUAGUACAAUAUCAAUUUAAUAGCUAGAUAUUAAGUACCAGCUCUAGCCAAAGCACUGAUUCUAAAAAUUUUUUAAUGUCCUUCUUGAUUGUGUUCAUUUCCUAACUUUUGAAAAAUAUCUAUUAUUUAGUCUAUGAAAAAUUAUAGUUUGAAAGUUGGUCAUAAAACACAUGCAUAGAGAUUAUUGACAAGUUGGUAGGUAUAUUCUGACGGGACUGGUAUACCCAGAUUCAUAUUAUUGAGGCUGGGAUGUAGCUCUUGAGGAAUAAUAGAGAUGUAGCUAGGAUUUUUGAGAACCUGGAUUCAACCCCCAGCACUGAAAAAAAACCUGACAUUAUUUUGGUUUAUUCUGAAUAUUAUCGCCUGAAGAAAACUUCACUUUUUGCAUCAUAUAUUUUAUUUUUUUACUUUUGGAGAUAAAAAUGUUCACCUUUGCUUAUAUUGCAAAUUUUAUGUGUUAUAUACUUUUAAUGCAUAUUUUAUAUUAAAGAGAAAGAAAUACAUAGCAAAUCAAUACAGAGGAUUUAUAUUCAAUGUCAAGUUACAACCAACUGGAGGGGGAAAAAAAGCCUUGUUAAAAGACUAUUACUCGGGCUGGGGUUGUGGCUCAGCGGUAGAGCACAUGAGAGGCCCUGGAUUCAAUUCUCAGCACCAUGUAAAAGUGACUAAAUAAAAACAAAGGUGUACAAGUAAAAGAAAUAAAUAUUUUUUUAAAAAAAGACUAUUACUCUACACAUAUAACUAAUAAUAUGUCAUAUUACAUAGUUGAAAACAUUUAGAUUUUUAAAUUUAAGAAACAUUUAGUUACUUUUGAGGGAAAUAUAAGAUAUAAUUUUUAAUAAUGAUAAUAGAAGUUAAUAGAUCUUUGGUGAAAAUUAAUUAUUAUUGUGUCCAUAAACCCCAAAAUUCAUAAAUGUGAACUGGAGCAGGGGUAAUCCACAUCCCAAGGUAGAUGAAGCACAGGGAUAAAUCAAUGCAGCAUUUGUCAAUAUAGAAAAGCAGAGUGACCACUUGUUCUCUUGAUCUCAAUAAUAAUUGCAUUUAACUAUCAAACUCCUUUUUGCAAGGACAGAAUGAUCAAUCACUAGGGAAAGGGUGGUUAAUGUAGUCAGUAAAUUUUACAAAUGUGUGGCCUUGCCACCUCUGUUACUUCACCCCAAAGUUAAAGGUGAACAGGGCUAGUCUUUGAAAAAAAUAAUCAAGUAAUAAAAUACUAAGUUGUGGGGUGAACUUUGCUUUAAGAAGAAUGUGACUGAUCAGCAAUGUUGAUGAAUUUUCUCAGUGUAGCUUCUAUUCCACUUUCUAUCCCACAUGGCUCCAUUGUCUAACUAGGCAAGUAGUAUUUGCCAAAAGGUCCCAUCUAGGUUGAAUUAGGAAAAACUACAAGUGUUCUCUCUUCACCAGAUCUUUGCCCUAAUCUGAUUAGGACUCCAGUCCCAGCCACAGGGGAAAUGACAAGCAAAUCCAUAACACCCAACUCUUUGACUAUAGUGGAAAGAAAUUUUAUCAAUAGGGUUUUUUUUUGUUUUUAUUUAAUUAUAUUUUAUCGUAUUCUCUGAAAUGAAAGACUAUUUUUUAUUUUAACUAUUUUUUUAAUCCCCAUUUUUCCACUUUAAGUAAAUGCCUUUAUGGACGCAGACCAAGAUUGGCAAGCAAACAUUUCACUUCACAAAUACAAGUCUCUCAAAGUGUAGCUAAGACCUUCUCAGAAAAGUAAAUUUUAGUUAAUUUUUGGGUUUUGGCACAUGUUUGAGCAAUGUAAGUCUUUUUUUAUUUUGUUUUUGCUUUUUCAGCAAGCUUUUCUUUAUUCAGUAUUAAGCGGCAGAGUCAAUCAGUCAAAUCUCUGGUAUGGCUCAUUUUUAGGACAGAAAAUGGCAAUAUAAAUCAUUUUAAGACCAAGUUUAACAUAUAAAUCUACUGAAAAGAGUAUUAAUUCCAAUAGAAAUUUGGGAACAUUUUCUAAAUGUACCCAAGUGUUCUUUACAUACUAAGAAAAAAAAUCUAAAACCUAGGAUUUCUACCUUCCAACAUAAAUAUGUUCCCAUGGGACAUCUAACAUAAUGUACUCUGUAUAUAGAUUUAAUAAUUACUAAACACCUCCCAUUUCCAAAGGAUAUUAUUACAGAGAGUAAAAAUUUGAAUCUUUUUUUGGUUGUGACUAUUUAAGUUAAUAAAAACUGAUCUUUUGGGUCUGGGGUUGUGGAUUAGAGGUAGAGUGCUUGCCUAGUGUACAUGAGACACUUGGUUCAAUCCUCAGCACCACACAAUAAAAAAAUGAAGAUAUUAUGUACACCCAUAACUAAAAAAUAAAUUUAAAAAAAGAAAAAAAAACCCUGAUCUUUUGGAGUAUACUAGUUAUCUAUUUUUCUUAAAUGUUUAGGGGCUUUAGUACCAUAAAUGUCAUACUUUCUCACAGGGAAGUCAAUAGAUUUUUGUUGCAGAGGAGGCUGAACUUCCAGCUUCUCAUUCUUUGAAAUUAUAUGAGAAAGAAUACAUGAAUUGAACAGAAAAGAGUUUUAUAUUUUACUGUUAAAGUCAUGAUUUGGCCAGGCACAGUGAUGCACACCUGUAAGGGAGGCUGAGACAGUGGAUUGCAAGUUCAAAGCCAGCCUCAGCAAAAGUGAGGCUAAGCAACUCAGUGAGAUCCUGUCUAUAAAUACAAAUAGGGCUGGGAUGUGGCUCAGUGGUUGAGUGUCCCUGAGUUCAAUCCCUGGUUUCAAAUAAAUAAAUAAAUAAAAUCAUGAAUUGGUCCGUUCUCAUGUAGGUGUUUUUUGUUUGUUUGUCAGAAUCAUUGCUUCUGAAUACAAUAUACGAUUUAUCUUCAGGCUGUUGAGUGUGUUGGUCACCUCUGUGUGUGUUUCAUUAGAGUUAUUAAAGACAUUGCCAAUUAUUCAAAUACCCAGAACUAUAUUAUUAAAUUCCCUUACUUAUGGAUAUAACUUAGUGAAUAUAGAAGUACCAUAGAUGUAAACAUUCUUAGAUCUUUUUUUUUUCAUAUUUUAACAUCUCUUAAAAUUGAUGUCAUCUUAUACUUAUGUUUGGCAGUAUUUUUCCUUUCUUGGUGGUACAUAAAGCAAUGAUAUGUUGAUAAUAAAUAGAUGAUAUCUUAGAUAUCAUGAAUAAAAUAGUAUAAUUCAGUGAAGAAAAAAAUAUCAAAGCCUUUUUAUCUGCAUUAGACAUUAGAGCCUACAAAUUCUAGUAAUCACUUUUGGCAUAACAGGAAUCUCAUAUUCUGGAAAUGGAACGUUUCAGUGAGUUUCCAACUUUUUUUAUGUAGAGUUUUCUCCUGGAUGCAUUUGUAGACAAUUAGAAAAUCAAGGGGGCAGAGGCAAAACAAAUGUAAAUUAUCUUUGCUGUGUAUUUUCAUUUCCAGCAAAGGGUUUUGAUUUAGGUCCAGUAUACUGAGGAAGUGAAGUUUCAUUCCCUCCCAUAAUAAGGACUAUAACAAACUGGUCAACCUAUUUGCUAAAUCAGAGCCCAAGACCACGAACUCAGCCACUAAUGUUCUGGAUUCAUAUUUCAACACAGAAAAAACAGAGCCACAAUAUUUUGGGGAAAAUAAUAUUUUACAUCUUCUUAUAUCUUUAUACAAACUAGAAAUUGAGUUUGUUAAAACUUUUAAAAAAUAUUUAGUUUUUGUAGUUGGACACAAUACCUUUAUUUUAUUUAUUUUAUGCGGUGCUAAGGGUCGAACCCAGGGCCUUGCAAGUGCUAGGUGAGCGCCCUACCACUGAGCCACAACCCCAGCCCUUGUUAAAGCUUUUCAAAUGAGACAAAGACCUCAAAAAAGAAAUGGAGGAUGGGUAGUUUUUCACAAGCAUGGGUGCUAUCUUUGUAAACAGAGUACACCACAUAAGAAUCCCUUAUCUCAAUGCAUAUUUAUUGACAUGGGUUUUGGGCUUAAAAAAGAGAGAGAGAAAUGGGAGCUCAUAACCCACUUGAAUCAAAUUGUGAAAUAUGAUAUAUCAAGAACUAUGUAAUGUUUUGAACAGCCAACAAUAAAAAAUUAAAAAAAAAAAAAAAAAAGAGAGAGAGAGAAAGUUAAUCUCUUUUUAAUUCAGCUCCCUGAUGAAAAAAACAAUUUUAUAUUAUGAUCAAGGGUUAAUAUUAGUGUUGGACUUCCUCCAUAGUAUAGCAUAUAGCAAUGGCCUGAAUCUAUUUAUAAACAUUUUUUUAAAAACUCAAGGUUAAUUUUCUUAGUUUUAUACUCUCAUGUCACAAUGAUGUACCAAUAACAUUUAUAUAACUAAUUCCUAUGUACUUUAACUCUGGAAGGAUCCUAGGAAUUGUUACAUAGUAACAAAUGCCAGGCAGAAAUAGAACUUUUCUACAAAGAAGAUAUUACCUUUGAGCUAUUUAAGGCUAUUGCUGGUGUGUAUAUAUAUAUAUAUACCAGCAAUAGCCAUAUAUAUAUAUAUAUAUAUAUAUAUAUAUAUAAUAUGCUUAUAUUAAAUGUAUGUUUAUGAACCCAUAUAAAGUAUUAUACAGAAUUCUGACUAGGAAAUUUUUUUUUUUACUAUCUACUUUAACAUGUAGGAAGAAAGUCUCUUCAAAAAAGAUUGAAAAUAAAGUCUCUUUAAAGAAUACUGAAAAAAGAGUAUCUUCAAAGAAUAUUAAAAAUAAAGAUUUCUUAACAAAUCUACAGUCUGACCAAUGGCCAUCUUCUUUCUUAAAAGAAAGUACAGGUAAUAGCAUUUGUCUUACUGAAUUGAGUGAUUGUGGCUUCUAAUUUAAACCUCUUUCCAGGACCCUGGGGAGUUGACAACACUCUAGGUCUAAGGUGGGGCCUGGGAAUCGUUAGUUUUUCAAACUCAGGUACUUGGUGAUUCUGAUACGCAAUGAAAUAGAGGAUCCCUGAGUAUACAUCAUGAGAUGAUAUUAUAAGGCAUUCAAUCUUUGCAUGGAUUUAAAUACCUAUGAAAGCAUUAACAAGUUCUAUUUGCUUAACCAUGAUUGAAAACCAGAGUGCCAGGCAUUAAUUUAGAAGCUGUGAAUACAAUAGUUGGCAAAAUAGGCAAAGUUUCUACACUUUAUAAAGUUCACACUGUAGUGUAAGCAUCCUUAUGCUGAUGAGCUGUUAUUCACUAGGGUGACAAUAAAUAAUGAUAAUGUACUAUAAAUUUCAAAAAGCUAAAAGAAAGGAAUUUGAAUGUUUUCACCAUAAAUAAAUAAUGUUUGAGGAGAUAUAUUUUACAUGAUUUAAACAUUAUACGAUGUAUACAUGUACCCAAACAUCACAUGAAACCUCAUAAAUAUGUGCAAUUUUGUCAGUUCAAAAUAAAUUUUAAAAAAUAAGUAACAGUAAAAAACCAGAAACAUGCAAGAUCAUUUCAGGGUUUGAUAGGUGCUACAUUUAAAUAAACAGUACCUGGGAGAGGAUUAUUUUAGAUCUAGAGAACAGGAAACUUCCCCAUAAUAACUGAAUUGAAUGAGACAGUGCCUGUGACAUCAUAGGAUGUCUUUAGUUCCUUAUUACGACCUUCCUGAUGACAUCAGUGUGGUGAGCUGGUGCACAUACUGGUGUACAUACUGGUGUAUACUGGAAGAUCAAGGUGGUUGUGAGCCAAUGGAGACUAUGAAUGAAACAGAAGCAGGUUAGAUGGACAGCUUGAAUAACACCAUUAUAAUUCUCCUGGAAGGGCUUCAUAUCCCUUUUCAGGGUAACACUCUUGGCUUAGAGUCAGGAGUUUCAUUUUAUUUCAUUUGGUCUGUGUUUUUCUAACCUAUCUUUUCUGGAGCUCCCCUGGAUUUCCUCCUUUUCUUCUAAAAAAUUGUGCUUAUACAACUUUUUAGAGUAGCUCAUGGCUACACUCCCAUCAAAAAGGCCCUUUCCCAAGGUGUCCCAGGCACCCACAAGAAAGGGGUGGGUGUAAUAACACAAGAUCAGUCUGAAACUGAAAGACUCCAUAAAGCCAAAGGAGUCAGGCUCACUGGUUUUCAAGGAGAUAUUUUAGGAAACACGUGGUAAACAUUUUUAAAAAUGAAUACUAGUAUAUUUAUUUUAAUAUUUUUUGAAGUACAUUAGAAAGAAAUAUAAGACAGUUAAGAACAUAGACUCUGGAGCCAAACUGACUCCCAGAAGAAUAAUUUAUUUCACUCCUCUGUCCCCCAGUUUUUUCAUCAAUAAACAGGAACAAAAAUUGUAGUACCUCACUGGGAUUUUAUAUAUAUAUAUAUAUAUAUAUAUAUAUAUAUAUAUAUAUAUAUAUAUAUAAUUUUUCAGUUAUAGGUGGACACAAUAUCUUUAUUUUUAUGUGGUGCUGAGGAUCAAACCCAGUGCCUCAUGAAUGCCAGGCAAGUGCUCUACCCCUGAGCCACACCACCAGCCCUCACUGGGAUUUUGAUAGAUUAAUAUCUGUAGUGUUCAGAGGCUAGAUUGUUGGUCAUUAUGACGGUUUUUGUUUGGUGAUUAUGUUAAUUUAGUAUAUCAGUUUUAUGGAUGCUAAUAGGGUCUGGCAAAAUUUAACUUCUAAACUUUUCAUUGUUCAUUGCUUAAAUUAUGUAUAUUCUGUUUUAGGUGAAGGGGGCAAAGACACAAUUAUUGCAAAGCAGGAGAAAAAUAAUGAACAUUGUGUUCAGAGUAUUGAUAAGUUGUCAGAAUCAACGGAUGCUGAUGGUGAGGAUGAUACCAGUGAUGAAGAUGAUGAAGACAGUAACCCUAAAAAGGAUACUCAUGCCCCAUUAGAAUUGAUGGCAGAAGUAAGUUUUACUUGUGCAUUACAAUUUAAGAAACUUAAAAAUGCUGAAAUAACUAAUGAUUUUAUUACUAAGUAAAUUAAGCAAAUUAGUAACGUAUUCAUCAAGUUAAAUUUUUAAAAAUCAAUAAAAAAGAUCCUUGCCCAGAUAUAAACGCUUACCUGGCUACUCAUCUCUCUUCAUUGCGUUAGAAGUAAAAGAAGGUUCUGAAAGUGACAUACAGUAUUCUAGUGAGGCAGAGGCAGGAGUAAGAGAAGUCUUGGUGCCCUGUAAGGACUGCUGGAAGGAAUGUGUUCUACAUACUGGGUACCAUGCUAGUUGCUGGGCAUAUAGAAAUAAAUAAGAGAGAGACAUUCUGUCCUUGAAAACAGGCACAUUUAGAAAUAGUUACAACACAUUGAAACAUAUACUAAUGAAAGUGCUUAAUAAGUUCCCUGGGAACAGGAAGACUUAAGUGACUGAGAAAAGAAGCAGGAAGAACAGGGAUAAGAGAAGGAUUUUUAAGAGGAAGAGACGUGAGUGGAAUCUUAGAAACUUGAAGGAAGAGGAGAAUAUAGAAAUUCAACUCGUAAACAAGAUUUCAAAAAUAUGAACAACAGCUGCAUAUUACACUGAUCACAUUCUCUAACCAUGAUCAAUGAAACUAGGCAUUAUAAGCAAAAAUAAUUAAAAUCACUUAAAAGAUAUUCUUCAAAAUGACACUUGAAGUAAAAUGAGAAAUCAAAAUUAAACUUAUUAAUUUGGAAAAUAGUGAUAACCACAACAUUACAAAUUACUAUUUUAAAAAGAGCUUAAGGUUUUAAAUGCUUUAAUGAUGGUGAUGAUGAUGAUUAAACUAAUAACAACAAUAAAGGAACUAAAUAUCAAUGCCAAAAACUAGAAAAAUAGAAAACAUAACAAAACAUGAAACGAAAGAAAAAUAAUAAUAAUACAAAGUAAAAAUGAAAUUAAUAUAUCAAGAGCUAGGUAUUUGAAAAAAAAUAACGUACAGAUAAACUGAUAAAUAUCAUAACUACAAUGGAAUAAAAUCACAAAUAGGAAUGAAAAUAAAAAUAUCUUAGACAAGAAUAGAAUUUAAAAUGUAAGAAUUCCAUUGCAUGAAUCAAUAUAGUUUUUAUUAAUAUGCAAAUAAAUGAGAUUUUUGGUGAAAUUAGUGAAUAAUAGAAAAACUCUAGAAUUGUUCUACUUAUAUCAGAAACAUAUUUUUAAAAAACUUCAAGGGAGAAACUGAAAAAAGUAAUAGAGAACUUCUUCUUAAAAUGGUACCUGGGUAUUCAUCACAUAUCUGGAAAUGCAUGAGAAGUUUUUCUUAGUACUCAGUGUCCCUGUCUCUUGCUGAGUAAAAUUCAUGUACCUGUGUGUGGUCCAGAUGUACCACACUCAAGCAGGAACAAAAAGUGUUAAGUUUUGUGUGUGUGUGUGUGUGUGUGUGUUUUUAACUGGUAGCAGAGUAAAAAGUUAAUGACAGCUGGGUAUGGUGGCCACGCCUGUAAUCCCAGCAGCUUAGGGAGGCUGAGGCAAGAGGAUUUCCAGUUCAAACCCAGCCUCAGCAAUUUAGCAAGGUGCUAAGCAACUCAAGGAGACCCUGUCUCUAAAUAAAAUACAAAAAAAAGUGAGGUGGGGUGCUGGAGAUGUGGCUCAGUGGUUAAGUGCCCCAGAGUUCAAUUCCCAGUACCAAAAAAAAAAAAGUUAAUGACAGGGGCCAAAGUUGUGGCUCAGUGGUAAAGCAUUUGCCUAGCAUGCAUGAGGCACUGGGUUCAAUCCUCAGCACUACAUAUAAGUAAAAACAAAUAAAAUGAAAGUAUUAUGUACAUCUACAACUAAAAUAAAAGUUAAUGACAAAAAAUUCAUCUAGUAAAUUGUAGCCUAAAUAAGUAAAAAAAUAUGUAAUAUUUAAUGCUAGACUGGGUGUGUAGUUCAGUGGUAGAACACAUACUAAGCAUGAUAAGCAUGAAAGAGACCCUGGGUUCAGUCUCCAGUAUUCCCCUCCCUACCAAAAUAAGAAUAUUAAUGCCACGGGGAAAAAUAAUCACAAUCAAAUAGUUUAUUUAUUAAAUAACUACUGAAUAAUCCUAAUAUUUAUAAAUAUAUAUGUGUUUAUUUAUGAGCAAAACUAAAAGGAUAUACAUGAAGAUGUUAAACAUCUCUAGAUGGUAGAAAUAUAGGUGCUUCUUAAUGGAGAACAUAAUGUGUUAAUUUAGCUUUUAAAUUCCCUACAUUACAAAUGUGUAUUACUUUAACAAGAAAAAUAGUAUAAGCAAAACUAGAUAAUAUAGAAGCAGUGCUGGAAAAUAUUGAAUGUACAUAAUUGUUAAGUCCAUAAUUAUUCUUUUCAACUAAGAACUGUUAUGUCGUUAUGAACUACAUUCACACAUGAAAUCUAUAUCUAAACUAAAGGAAUAAUCAGAUAAAGUGAUUGAAGUAUUUACUAUCUGUGCCAGUCAAGUCAACCUAUGUUUCUUAAAUGAUUCGGCAGUAUGCACACAAUGUGGCUGCAACAAAGCAGAGGUGGCACACUUAUUCCAAGUUGACCUGCCACCCAAGAGACUUACAUAUCCUCGAUUAAUUAAUUGAUUAUAGACUCACUCCUAGAAAAGUGUAUGUGUUAAAAGCAAAACAACUAACCAUUAAUGGAGUAUUUUCUAGGGAAUUUAUAAUUGACAAUUAAAUUCUCUCUGAAUCUACUUACAUCCAACGAAUUUAAUGUUUUCCAGUUCCUGAGAGCAGAAAUGGGCCGAGACUAUCAUCUCGCAAAAAAAUUAUGUCAGAUGAGUAAGUACAAAAUGCUUUCACAUUUUCCAAUAUUCCUUUUGUUUCUAAAAAUAAAUUCUAUCAUAUGUAAGAUGGUUCCAUUAUCCUAAGUCUAAUUCCCUGCUAGUGUCUCAGUGGCUCCUUUAUAGUGAAUGGUUAAUUAAUAUAAGGAUUAAUUUAGAUUUCUAGAGUAACUUUUAGCGACAUAAACUAAUGUAGACUAAUGUAGACUAAUUAUCACCACUGGAAAAUAAAUCAGAAUCCUUACUAUCAUGAUAAGGGAAUAGUACCUUUAUGCUUUUUGUUUCAAAGAAAAGCCAGGUGCUAUAGCUGUCGAGCUAGUCUAUCUGAACAUGCAUUAUUCCACCAAUGUUGGAGAGCCUGGGUGUGCCAGGCACCAUUCUAGACACUGGAAAUAGAGCAGCCAACAUGAUGGAAUAACAGUCCCACAUUUAUGCCUACUGUCAGACAGAUAAUAAACUAAAUUGUGUAUCAUAAAUGCUAGAUGCUUUGGAGAAAGACUAAGUCGGAAAGAGGAACUAGAAGGCACUGGGAGAAAACAAGGUAGUUUUCAGUAGGCUGGAAGGCCUCCCUGAAAGACUCGAAGUGGAGGAAAGAAGUGUGCUAGGCAUGUCAAACAGCACGUGUGCUGGCAGCAGCAAGAAGUCCUGUGUACCUGCAGCAGAAGAGCAAGGAAGUGUGGCAGGUGCGGAGGUCAGAGAGAUCAGAGAGGUUUGGCACAGGCUAUGCACACUGCAUGGGACCAUUUGUCAAUUCAGAGACCUUGGCUUGUCGCUGAGUGAGAUGGGAAAGCACUGGAGGCUUUUGAUUCCAGGGGAAUGAUCUGUCUUCUCUCUCUCUGGUUUUUAGUGGUUUGACUUGUUGAAGAUAGUUGUGGUUCUGGGCUGGGGUGGUAGCUCAGUGGUAGAAUGCCUGCUUCACACCUGUGAGGCAUUAGGUUUGAUCCUUAGCACCACAUAAAAAUAAAUAGAUAUUGUGUCCAUCUACAACUUAAAAAAAAUUUUUAAAGGUAUUUAUGGUUUUCUUGGUACUUAUCCUAUUGGGAAGGUUUGCUGAGUUUUUAAAUCUGUGGGUUGUUGUUUUCAUCAACAUUGAAAGGUUCUUGGCCAUUACCUUUCCUCAUACCACUUCCACCCUAUUCUUUCUUUCUCUUCUCUUCCUGGGAUUCCAGGAAUUCAACUUUUUUUUUUUCAUGAAAUCCCACAUGUAUCUUUUACUUAGUUCUGUUUUGUUUUUAUUUCUCCAUAUUUCUAUUCUUCAGUUUGUGUAUUUUCUUUCUUUGUGUGUGUGUGUGUGUGUGUAAACACAAUACCUUUAUUUAGUAUUUUUUUAUGUGGUUCUGGGGAUCGAACCCAGUGCCUCACGCAUGGUAGGCAAGCACUCUACCACUGAGCCAUAACCCCAGCCCAGUUUGUAUAUUUUCUAUUGACCUUUUUUGGGGUUUAUUUAUCCUGUUUUAUGCUGUGUCCAGUCUGCUAUUAAAACUAUCCGGUGGGCUAGGGAUGUAACUCAAGCGGUAGCGCGCUGGCCUGUCAUGCAUGCGUCCCGGGUUCGAUCCUCAGCACUACAGACAAAGAUGUUGUGUCCGCCGAAAACUAAAAAAUAAAUAUUAAAAAAUUCUCUCUCUCUCUCUCUCUCUCUCUCUCUCUCUCUCUUUAAAAAAAAAACUAUCCGGUGAGUUCUUAAUGUCAAAGACUGUAUUUUCCAACUUUUAAAUGCCCAUUUAAUGAUUGGAAAGAUUUCAGCUCUAUACUAACAUACACCAUCUUUCCAACUAUUUUGUCCAUAUUUCCUCAAAUAUUUUAGUCAGAGUUAUUUUAUAAUAUAUAUAUAAACCUAUUGAUAAUAGGACCAUUAACUAGCAGUUGACUUAAAUUAAGUCUAUAAUAAAUCCCUUGAAGUGAAAAUGUAGUGCAGGGAUUGUGAAGGGUCUACCCUCACUUGCCUGUGUCCCCACUAUGAACACAGAAGUAGAUUGGCUAGUUUUAAAAAUGGGUUUCUUGAAUCCUUUAGCACUACCUAUUUCAUAUCAGAAGUAAACAGCUUGUCCUGUUUAAUCCUAUAGAGUAUUUUUAACCUAUUUAAUAAAAUACUUUGGUCAAAGCUAUUUUUAGAGUCCCACAAACAGAAUUUUCCAAUCAGAAGGAAUCUUCAGAGAAGAUAAUGUCCAGUGACUUUCUGUGGAAGAAGCUGAAGCAGAGAGGGGUAAACAACUGGCUUGGCACUACUCACGAUGACAGUGACACGGUCAGAAUGGAAACGCAAGCCUGCUUUUCCUACACCUUUCUUUUCUCCAGUGGCUUAUGUAAAACAAGGAACUCUGUUCCACUCAUUCUCCAUUCUGUGAAUUUUUUCUGGAAACUAAUUGUGGAAAAUUUUAUGUAUUUUUUAUUUCUCUAUUCAUCAAUCAUUUUAGAAAGCUUCUGGCUAAAGCUUAUAAAAUAUAUGUACUGUCAGUCUGUUUUGGCUAUGAGCCCUGCAGAAUGCUACAUAAACAGCAGGUGCUCAAUAAUAUACUUGUCAGCCUGACUCAAACCAGUGAUUGUACAAUAAAUACCAGGUCAAUGGGGUUGAAACACUUCAAAUUUAUCUAUGUUCAUGGAUAUAUCCCUUUAAAAAUAUCCUUCCUCCCUUUCUCCUACUCUUUCUUCUUUCUUUCCUUCUCUCCUUCCAACAAGUACAUAUUGAGCACCUUCCUCUGACCCAGACAUGCUGGGAGACGGAGAGAAAGCAGGAGCCAAGGCACACAUGCUCUCAAUCCUCUGGGGAGUCACUUUAAAGUUAACAUGUCUACAGGCUCACACAUUCACACUGUCCCCUCUUAUAGGUCAGUGUCAAAUAGUGGUGCCUCUAAAACUGAGGAUUAGACUACAAGAAGAGUGGCUAAGGUCACCAUCAGACACCAGGAUCUGGGGUGCCUGUAAGAACGCUGCUUCUAGGAGGAAGAAGGGCUGACUGGAAACAUGGGCAAAGAGGCCCAGAAGUAGGGAUGCAUGGGUUCCCUCGAAGAACAGGAUUGCCUUCUUCUGAGGCAGAUUCCCAGCUGAGGGUGUGAAGUUAGGGAGGCCCAGAGUCUGCAGUGCCAAGCCAGGUCAAGGGAAGAACCGAGUUCUCAGGGAGAAAAAGCACUAGUUCUUUGCUGCUAUUAGGAACAUGUGAUUGGAGGCUGUUCCAUAACUUUCUCUGUAUUUAUGGCUGCAGACAAAAUGAAUUGUUCUUAUCUAGCAUGGACCCCACAUACUUUAUAUAUAAAUGCUUAUAGUAUAGAUAUUCUUGUCUGUCCCUUUUAUCAUAUUCUAGCUUCCCUACAAAAUACCUGCUUUGUGCUUGUGCUCUCCCUCUCUUCUCUCCCUCUCUCUCUGUCUCUCUCUAUGUAUAUAUAGAUAGAUAAAGAUAGAUAGAUAGAUAGAUAGAAUUUAUAUGUGGGCAUUUUUAUUUUUUAUUUUUAAAAUAUUUUUAAUUGUAGAUGGACACAAUACCUUUAAUUUAUUUACUUACUUAUUUAUAUGUGGUGCUGAGGAUCAAACCCAGUGCCUCGUAUGUGCUAGGCAAGUGCUCUACCACUGAGCUACAACCCCAGCCCUGUAUUUUUAUUUUUAAAUGUAUAACUUCUGACAUCUGUAAGUGUAGUUAUAUAUUUACAUAUUUAUGCAUAUAUGUGUUGAAUACCUACUAUAGGAACAUUCUUGAAGAAACAGUGCUUAAUACUCAAAACAGUUUUGUGAGAAUCAUUAACUCUACAGAGGAGGAAACUGAAGCAAAGCAAGACCUAAUUCAUACAAGGUCAAAUGGCUCCUAAGUAGUAGGAUCAUAUUCCAAGUCUAACUUGAAAGUCUGUCAUUUCCAUACUCCAUUUCAAUUUCCUCAUUUGGUUAAUAAGCUUAUUUUUCUGGUAAAGGAAGCAAAGGCUUGGAAAAUAAAUAUUUUCAUGGAUCUGUCAGGCUAGAAAUGGGUCCCAUGAUUGAUGAAUAUAUAUUUUUCUUUGUUUAUAUCAAGGACAAUUAAUUUAUAUAAAAUAAUGCAUCCUUAUCCCUUCAAAAGUGUACACACUCAUUUUCUUGAAAAAAGCCCCUGGUUCCUGGGGUGGUGCCUUGAAGUCCAAUUGCAAGCUAGUCUUAUAUGAUUUUGUCUGACUAUAGGGCAUCCCACCCAGCAUCUAGGCACCCACAGCUUCUUUUCUCUUUUCCUGCCUUUUUAAAAAUCUGCGUUGGGUUCUUCCAAAACAUUGUAUCUAUCGACAUAGGCUUGAAUUUCUUCUGUCUUCCACCCAGUUUUUAUAUAGUCGUAAUCGUUCCUCAAUCAUUUUCCUGCUGUCUCAUGCAGAACUUAUAUUUCUGCUCCAUUUCCUGUCAGGCAGCAGGGGCAACCUGGAAAAAAAUGGUUUUUAAAUGGGACUGGAAGUCAAGGGUCCAAAGUACUUUUCUUCAUUCAUUUCGUUCAUGACUGAGGUUUUUGUGCCAAUCAAUCUCCCUAUUUCUUGGUCACUUCACCUGUAAGUGAGAAAAUUGCAGCUCAGUCUUCUCAGGGCACAUCAGUUCUGCUCACAAGUAGCUAGAGAUUCUACACACAAAAAACAGGGAAGUGUGCUACAAGAUCUAUAUCAUGAGUUAUAACCAUUGUAAAUAGUAACGAACAAUGGCUUGAAACCCAAACAGUUCUCAUUAUUGUAGCUCUAUUUUGAAUAUAGAUGUAUCUUCAGAAAAGAUGGUUCCUAAAAAACUGUUUCUUUUCAAGUAAAAUAAAUGAUCCCUUUCUAUUAGCCUACAGUAUCACCUUAUCUUGGGGUUAAAAAAAAAAGCCUGCUUUGUUCUCAUUUGUCUAUAUUCACUUAUUCCCCUUUCUAAUGUUUUGAAGGCUCCUGCUGCACAUAGCAAGCACUCUGCUGGGCAUGCAACAGUAAACAAGACAAGUGUUUUCUGCCCUGAAAUAGCUCCAAUCUGUUCAGCCCCAUAGCAUUAGAAGCCCCACUUCCCCACAUGAGUCCUGUAGUCAGAAGAAGCACCCUGUUUCUGAGGCAGAAGAAAAGAAACCAAACAAUCCUCUAGUCCAAGAACCAUUCCAGGAAAACUAAUAAUAACCAAUAUUUAUUCAGCACUUACCGUGCACCAAGGACUGGACUGAGUACUUAAUAUUAUCUGAUUGAUUCAUCCAAAUAGCCCAAUAUGACAAAUAUUAUUACAGAAAAGGAAAUUGAAGUACAACCAUAUUAAAUAUGGUAGCAGGACCAGAAUUCAUAUCGGGCAGUUUUUCUGCAGGAUCCUUAGUGGGCAAUGCUUCCAUUAUGGAGCCCAAGUUGGAAAACAACCCCUGGACAGAAAUUGCAUGUGCUAGAUGCUUAUCUCAAAUCUUUACACACCCGUCUAGGCUGUGAUAUCAGAAUUUUUGAUUUGUCACCUAGAAUAGUUAUUGCUGGGCCAAGUUUCAAACCAGAUACCUUUCCCUCACUUUCUGAAAAUUGAUAAAUGCUAGCUAAACUUACACUCCAAUCCCUGAAAUGAAUCCAAUUCCAACAUUAAUUUUCUAAAUUAGUUCCAAGUGAUAGCUUAGGGUUUAUUAGUAAGUGUUCCACAAAAAUGAUUCCAUUGUCAAAUAAAUUUGGAUAAAUCACAUUUGCCUCUCUAUAAGAUUCAUAGCAGUUUUGAACAUCUGACUGGUUCUGUAAAUUCCUGUGAUUACUCCUUAGAGUAAGUUUUUCCCGAUUAACUUUCUUUAACUUAGUAUCCCAAAUAUGUAUUAAGAAUCUAGUAUCCAAAGAAGCAAGUUGGAGAAAUCCUGCUCUAGAAAGAGGCUUAGCCUCAGAGAAAAAUUUAGACUAGUGAUAAGUAUAUUUAAUUUCAAGUUAAAUGUAUAAUAAAGGUACCUUAUUAGAAAGCUUAUUUGUAUGUAUAAUAAUGCAUAAAAUACCUGGGAUCCUUAAAGGCAGUUUUUGAGCAAGCAUACAGUUAUGUAUGUUAUGUUAGUGGAUUUGGAAAUAAAGUCACUGGUUUGACAUGUCAAGAUGAAAGCCAUGAGUCAAUGGAGCCUUGAACCUUCCACAGUUCUCUUUCUUUUAGCCAGAAGAAUAGCACACUUGAUGUUUCAGUGCCCCCUGGGGGCCACCAAGAUAUUGCACAAGGAGUCAUCAAUGGAUGAUACAGAAAGAAAUAAUGAAUACUCCUCUAGGCAUGUAGGAAUAAGGAAGAGAGAUUGAGCUGUAGAGAGAUUUGAAAACCAGACUCUAGAAAAUUCUGGAAAGAAGUCUGGUAUCUAACACAUAGAUAAUAUACCAACAAGCCUUAAAAAGUCUGAUAUGGUCCAAAGGAAGGACAACAGUCACCUAAGGCAAAGGGAAUAAAUGGGGCUCAAUGAAGAGGGGAGAGUAUUGUUAAGCAGGCGAUGACUGGUGAGUAGACUAAAGUUCUCAGAAUGAAGGGAAAAAAACAACGUCAGUUUUCCCUAUGCAAAAGAUGUUAUUUAAAAGUGGCACCUCUACAGAAGAGGUCGCACAAAGAAAACUCCUUUCCUUUGUGUUACACGAGAUCUUCAGCAAAGGAUGUCAUGCAGAUAUACUAAUGGAUGAGAUGAGGGAUUACAGACAUAUAGGCACACUGUCUUUUCAUUAUCAAACUCUCCACAUUUGCAGGAUUUGUACACUCUUUGGAGAAUGAUUCUAUUCAUGAAACACUUUGGCUACUGGCCUAUUAGGGAAGCCAUAUUGAGGUGAUUGAGAUUGUAUUAUUUGUAUAGGAGGUAGAAAAAUAUAAUAAGGAUAAUUUCUCCAAUAAAGCACCAAAUAUAAGUGGAGCAUUUUCUCUAUUUGUACCUGGAUCUAUCUGUGGUAUAAUUGUUGAUGUUUAUUGCUUUGUGCAUUUCUACCUGCUCUGACUGACAGUUUCAAUCUCAUUCUAAGGAUCCUGUUUGUUGAAACACUGUGAACCUUAAUAACACACAUUCUGUUGUCCAUUUUCAGUCAUAAUCU